rfam:Mucilaginibacter sp. PPCGB 2223 NODE_2_length_970906_cov_152.094_ID_400, whole genome shotgun sequence.
AUAGAGAAAGCCGAAAAUCUUUAAGAGUAAGCA